AUUGAACGCUGGCGGCAGGCCUAACACAUGCAAGUCGAGCGAGCGGCGGACGGGAGAGUAAUGUCUGGGAAUGUGCCUGAUGGAGGGGGUUAGGUACUGGAAACGGUAGCCAAUACCGCAUAGCUUAAGAUGUGCCCAGAUGGGUAUUGCUAGUAGGUGGGGUAUAGGCGCACCAAGGCGACGAACCCUAGCUGGUCGGAGAGGAUGACCAGACACACUGGAACUGAGACACGGUCCAGACUCCUACGGGAGGCAGCAGUGGGGAAUAUUGCACAAUGGGCGCAAGCCUGAUGCAGCCAUGCCGCGUGUGUGAAGAAGGCCUUCGGGUUGUAAAGCACUUUCAGCGAGGAGGCGUUACUCGCAGAAGAAGCACCGGCUAACUCCGUGCCAGCAGCCGCGGUAAUUC
rnacentral:rRNA from 1 species